CAAUAGCGUAUAUUAAAGUUGUUGCAGUUAAAAAGCUCGUAGUCGGAUUUUGGCUGAGAACGAUCGGUCCGCCGUUAGGUGUGCACUGAUUGGUCUCAGCUUCCUGGUGAGGAGGUGUGCUUCACGGCCACUUAGUCACCGUGGUUACUUUGAAAAAAUUAGAGUGUUCAAAGCGGGCUUACGCUUGAAUAUAUUAGCAUGGAAUAACACCAUAGGACUCCUGUCCUAUUUCGUUGGUCUCGGGACGGGAGUAAUGAUUAAGAGGAACAGUUGGGGGCAUUCGUAUUUCAUUGUCAGAGGUGAAAUUCUUGGAUUUAUGAAAGACGAACUUCUGCGAAAGCAUUUGCCAAGGAUGUUUUCAUUGA
rnacentral:rRNA from 1 species